rnacentral:tRNA from 2 species
GGAUCUGUAGUUAAACGGUUAUAACGGGACUCUUAUAAAGUCCAAUCGAUGGUUCGACUCCAUCCUGAUCCACCC